UAACAAACGGUUCCAAACGCAUUUUAUAGACCAACUCGUCCGAUCCAAGGCAUGCAACGUGUUCCUUUAACACGACGUAAAGCAUUGGGAAUUCGAAGUGUGUUCUACAAGGGUUCCGUAAGGGCAGAACUCUGUGGUAAGCAUUGGGCACAGAUCAAUGUCAAUUUUGGAGAGUAACUCGUCCUAACUUAGGGUGGUUUCAAUGCGUCCUAUACUUACUUACGUCUUACUAGACCCAAGUCAUAAGAUUAUUCCUGAAGGAACAGUUUGGUGAAGUCGACGGCUGGUACCCUGUCUUUCAUCCCAAUGAUACAGACAGCCCCUUGGUUGCCUUUCGGAACCAGUGAUUUCAUCGGAACAAUCAUUUCAUUGGAUAAUUAACUUGCAAUGACGUAAACUUUUGGUUUGCCGAUGCAAAAAAUGAUAUUUUAAGUACCGAGGAUGUAUUGAUGUUAUUUUGAUUUAAAUUUUAUGUGCAUUGUCCGAUAGCAUGAUAUCGGUAUAUUUGUUGUAAAAGGUGGGCUAUUUUAAAUGCUUUUUAAAAUUUAAAUGUGUUUUACUAAGUUG